GUUGGUCUUCUCUCUCUCUCUCUUUUGCUCUUUUAGCUACAUCCAGUGUCAACAGUGUGUCGGCACUGAAAGGAGUGGAAAGCACUGAAUCCACUGUUACUAGUAAGUAGAGAAACAACCUAAGUACCUAUAUUAGUAAAGCCCUUCAAUAAAAGUAGUAAUGUUAAAUAAAUCUCCUUAAUGGAAGUUUCUAGAGAGUUGCUGCAGUGUUACUAUUUUUUUUUUGGUGUUGCUGAAAAGUUAAUGUUUUGUGUUGAAAUUUACAGGAAGGAUGAGCAGUGGAUCCAAUGUUACCAGUAACGCCAGUAAGUAGAGACACAGCAUUCAAUUUUGCAUUAGUGAAGCUCCUAAUUUUUUUAAACUAGUGUUGAUAAAAAAAAAUCAUGUAUAAUAGCAAAUUGUCCUUAUCAUUGCCUAGACGAUGAAGCAGGAGUGAAUCAGACCAUCAGUAAGUACAAUCACUGCAUUGUAAUGACAUAAAAAAAUAGAUAGCAUUUUAAUGUUAUUGUAAUGCUUAGAGUAUCACAAUGUAUGCCUCAUUCUUUCAUUCACUACCCCUCCCUUUAGCUUCAUCCAAUGUAUACAGUGCGUUUGUAAGAAGUCGCACUGAGACUGGGUUAAUAUUACAAUGGAACAAAGUGAACAACAGCAGCAGUUACAGUUACAGACUGAACUACAAUGGAAUAAACAUUAAUAUCAAUGGAUCAGAGGGAGGAUCUGUAGUGAACUACACAUUCUCAUCUCUUUCUCCUGGAACUAAAUACACCUUCACUCUCUACACUGUAUUUGAAGGAGUGGAGAGCAGUGGAUUUAACUUUGCCAGUGUCACCAGUAAGUACAGCCAUGACAUUAGAGC
rnacentral:lncRNA from 1 species